CUCAGGACGAACGCUGGCGGCGUGCUUAACACAUGCAAGUCGAACGGAAAGGCCCUGCUUUUGUGGGGUGCUCGAGUGGCGAACGGGUGAGUAACACGUGAGUACCUGCCCUUGACUUUGGGAUAACUUCAGGAAACUGGGGCUAAUACCGGAUAGGAGCUCCUGCUGCAUGGUGGGGGUUGGAAAGUUUCGGCGGUUGGGGAUGGACUCGCGGCUUAUCAGCUUGUUGGUGGGGUAGUGGCUUACCAAGGCUUUGACGGGUAGCCGGCCUGAGAGGGUGACCGGCCACAUUGGGACUGAGAUACGGCCCAGACUCCUACGGGAGGCAGCAGUGGGGAAUAUUGCACAAUGGGCGGAAGCCUGAUGCAGCAACGCCGCGUGCGGGAUGACGGCCUUCGGGUUGUAAACCGCUUUCGCCUGUGACGAAGCGUGAGUGACGGUAAUGGGUAAAGAAGCACCGGCUAACUACGUGCCAGCAGCCGCGGUGAUACGUAGGGUGCGAGCGUUGUCCGGAUUUAUUGGGCGUAAAGGGCUCGUAGGUGGUUGAUCGCGUCGGAAGUGUAAUCUUGGGGCUUAACCCUGAGCGUGCUUUCGAUACGGGUUGACUUGAGGAAGGUAGGGGAGAAUGGAAUUCCUGGUGGAGCGGUGGAAUGCGCAGAUAUCAGGAGGAACACCAGUGGCGAAGGCGGUUCUCUGGGCCUUUCCUGACGCUGAGGAGCGAAAGCGUGGGGAGCGAACAGGCUUAGAUACCCUGGUAGUCCACGCUGUAAACGGUGGGUACUAGAUGUGGGGUCCAUUCCACGGGUUCCGUGCCGUAGCUAACGCUUUAAGUACCCCGCCUGGGGAGUACGGCCGCAAGGCUAAAACUCAAAGAAAUUGACGGGGCCCCGCACAAGCGGCGGAGCAUGCGGAUUAAUUCGAUGCAACGCGUAGAACCUUACCUGGGUUUGACAUGGAUCGGGAGUGCUCAGAGAUGGGUGUGCCUCUUUUGGGGUCGGUUCACAGGUGGUGCAUGGCUGUCGUCAGCUCGUGUCGUGAGAUGUUGGGUUAAGUCCCGCAACGAGCGCAACCCUUGUUCACUGUUGCCAGCACGUUAUGGUGGGGACUCAGUGGAGACCGCCGGGGUCAACUCGGAGGAAGGUGGGGAUGACGUCAAGUCAUCAUGCCCCUUAUGUCCAGGGCUUCACGCAUGCUACAAUGGCUGGUACAGAGAGUGGCGAGCCUGUGAGGGUGAGCGAAUCUCGGAAAGCCGGUCUCAGUUCGGAUUGGGGUCUGCAACUCGACCUCAUGAAGUCGGAGUCGCUAGUAAUCGCAGAUCAGCAACGCUGCGGUGAAUACGUUCCCGGGGCUUGUACACACCGCCCGUCAAGUCAUGAAAGUUGGUAACACCCGAAGCCGGUGGCCUAACCGUUGUGGGGGAGCCGUCGAAGGUGGGACUGGUGAUUAGGACUAAGUCGUAACAAGGU
rnacentral:rRNA from 1 species